rnacentral:lncRNA from 1 species
ACAAAACACUACACUCUGGGUGGCUUAAACAAGAAAAAUUUAUUUUCUCGCAGUUCUGGAAGCUAAAAGUCCAAGAUCAAGGUGUCCACAGGGUUAGUCCAAGAUCAAGGUGUCAACAGGGUUGACUUCUUCCAAGACCUGGCUCCUUGGCUUGUCUUCUCACUGAGUCCUCACCUGACCUUUCCUCCAGAGGCACACAUCCCUUG